CGGCGUCCAGGCCAGAACAAACCUGCCGUCGCCCAAUGAUUCCUUUGUUACGCCGGCAGGCCCGCUGAACAGCAGUUGUGUGAUCCUAGCAGACAAGUCGAUAUGAGAUUUUUUCCACAAGACGUGCCACGAAGAAUUAGUAUGUACAGUGCAGUGGCGGAUGCUGGUCUGUCAAGGAGGGGAAGCUCAAUUUCGGCCUCCAUCAUAAAAUGGGUCCGUUUAUUUCUACGUGGAUUCUACUCUCCGUUCCUUUUCAAGAAAAUUAUCUGUGACCCUGUCAUACCAACAAGGCGUCUUUUCCAGGGACUUAACUAGUGUCCUACAACUACAGUAAC